rnacentral:rRNA from 1 species
CCUACGGGAGGCAGCAGUGAGGAAUAUUGGUCAAUGGACGAAAGCCUGAACCAGCCAAGUCGCGUGAAGGAUGACUGCCCUAUGGAUCGUAAACCUCUUUUAUAUGGGAAUAAAGUGUGGCACGUGUGGGAUUUUGUAUGUACCAUAUGAAUAAGGAUCGGCUAACUCCGUGCCAGCAGCCGCGGUAAUACGGAGGAUCCGAGCGUUAUCCGGAUUUAUUGGGUUUAAAGGGUGGGUAGGUGGACUUUUAAGGCCGUUGUUAAAGUGUGUGGCUCAACCAUAGAAUUGCAGUUGAAACUGGCAGGCUUGAGUACGUUAGAGGUAGGCGGAAUUCGUGGUGUAGCGGUGAAAUGCGUAGAUAUCACGAAGAACCCCGAUUGCGAAGGCAGUUUACUGGGCCGUGACUGACACUGAGGCACGAAAGCGUGGGGAUCAAACAGGAUUAGAUACCCUUGUAGUC